GUGACGAAACAGGGGUGCUUUGCCCACAGGCGGCAUGAUUUCCAUGCUGCGGCGGCGAGGCUGAGAGAGACCCUUUGCACCCGAUCCGGGUAAUACCGGCGCGGGAAGUUUCCGGAAGCGAACG
rfam:Paraburkholderia susongensis strain LMG 29540 genome assembly, contig: Ga0139082_115